CCCGCUGAACUUAAGCAUAUCAAUAAGCGGAGGAAAAGAAACUAACAAGGAUUCCCCUAGUAACUGCGAGUGAAGCGGGAAAAGCUCAAAUUUAAAAUCUGGUGGUCUCUGGCCAUCCGAGUUGUAAUUUAGAGAAGCGUCUUCCGCGCUGGACCGUGCACAAGUCUCCUGGAAUGGAGCGUCGUAGAGGGUGAGAAUCCCGUCUUUGGCACGGAUGCACCAGGGCUUCUGUGAUGCGCUCUCGAAGAGUCGAGUUGUUUGGGAAUGCAGCUCAAAAUGGGUGGUGAACUCCAUCUAAAGCUAAAUAUUGGCGAGAGACCGAUAGCGAACAAGUACCGUGAGGGAAAGAUGAAAAGCACUUUGGAAAGAGAGUGAAACAGUACGUGAAAUUGUUGAAAGGGAAACGCUUGAAGUCAGUCGCGUCGCCCGAGACUCAGCCUCGCCUCGGCUUGGUGUACUUCUCGGCCGACGGGUCAGCAUCAAUUUUGCCCCUCGGAUAAUGGCAAGGGAAAGGUGGCACCUUUGCGGGUGUGUUAUAGUCUUUUGUCGCAUGCGAGGGGUGGGAUUGAGGAACUCAGCACGCGCGCCCUUCUGGGUGUGUCGGGGCCUCGGCCCACGCCACGUGCUUAGGAUGCUGGCGUAAUGGCUUUAAACGACCCGUCUUGAAACACGG
rnacentral:rRNA from 1 species